rnacentral:rRNA from 1 species
UGCAGUCGAACGGCAGCACGGAGCUUGCUCUGGUGGCGAGUGGCGAACGGGUGAGUAAUAUAUCGGAACGUACCCUAGAGUGGGGGAUAACGUAGCGAAAGUUACGCUAAUACCGCAUACGAUCUAAGGAUGAAAGUGGGGGAUCGCAAGACCUCAUGCUCGUGGAGCGGCCGAUAUCUGAUUAGCUAGUUGGUAGGGUAAAAGCCUACCAAGGCAUCGAUCAGUAGCUGGUCUGAGAGGACGACCAGCCACACUGGAACUGAGACACGGUCCAGACUCCUACGGGAGGCAGCAGUGGGGAAUUUUGGACAAUGGGCGAAAGCCUGAUCCAGCAAUGCCGCGUGAGUGAAGAAGGCCUUCGGGUUGUAAAGCUCUUUUGUCAGGGAAGAAACGGUGAAAGCUAAUAUCUUUUGCUAAUGACGGUACCUGAAGAAUAAGCACCGGCUAACUACGUGCCAGCAGCCGCGGUAAUACGUAGGGUGCAAGCGUUAAUCGGAAUUACUGGGCGUAAAGCGUGCGCAGGCGGUUUUGUAAGUCUGAUGUGAAAUCCCCGGGCUCAACCUGGGAAUUGCAUUGGAGACUGCA